ensembl:lncRNA
AACAGCAUUUAUGUUUGCUUGUGUGUGUGGAGAACUGUUGGGGUUUUUUUUGUUCCUUACCAGUACCACAUGGUGCACCUGUAUAGUGUUGUAGUGACUGAGAAUGUAAGACAGGCUGUACAGGUCUACAGGAGUGUGUGCAGUGUUGGGAAGGGUACAGUUGUACCUUGGUUCUUGAAGUGCCAGUACCAGGUGUCCAUGUUUCAGCUGCAGAACCAUGGGAUGUAGGCAAGGUGCAGCAGUGGUGGGCUUUGCAACACCGACUCCAGUGUACACAUCACCACACAAAAGUGUUCCCCAGAGGAUACUGCCAGACUCAGGUGAAGUGCACUUUCCUGGUCUGCAGUGUGUAUGUGACCACUGAGAUGGAAACAGCCCAGCUUCCCGUAACUGUUCAUGC